AACGAACGCUGGCGGCAGGCUUAACACAUGCAAGUCGAGCGGGGUGAUGGUGCUUGCACUAUCACUUAGCGGCGGACGGGUGAGUAAUGCUUAGGAAUCUGCCUAUUAGUGGGGGACAACAUCUCGAAAGGGAUGCUAAUACCGCAUACGUCCUACGGGAGAAAGCAGGGGAGCUAUAUGACCUUGCGCUAAUAGAUGAGCCUAAGUCGGAUUACCUAGGUGGGGGGGUAAAGGCCGACCAAGGCGACGAUCUGUAGCUGGUCUGGGAGGAUGAUCCCCCACACUGGGACUGAGACGCGGCCCAGACUCCUCCGGGAGGCAGCAGUGGGGAAUUUUGGACAAGGGGGGGAACCCUGAUCCAGCCAUGCCGCGUGUGUGAAGAAGGCCUUAUGGUUGUAAAGCACUUUAAGCGAGGAGGAGGCUCUUUUGGUCAAUACCCAGAAUGAGUGGACGUUACUCGCAGAAUAAGCACCGGCUAACUCUGUGCCAGCCGCCGCCGUAAGAC
rnacentral:rRNA from 1 species